UACGUAGGUGGCAAGCGUUGUCCGGAUUUACUGGGCGUAAAGCGUGCGUAGGUGGUUCGUUAAGUCUGAUGUGAAAGCCCUGGGCUCAACCUGGGAAUGGCAUUGGAUACUGGCGACCUAGAGUGCGGUAGAGGGGUGUGGAAUUCCCGGUGUAGCAGUGAAAUGCGUAGAUAUCGGGAGGAACAUCUGUGGCGAAGGCGACACCCUGGACCAGCACUGACACUGAGGCACGAAAGCGUGGGGAGCAAACAGG
rnacentral:rRNA from 1 species